rnacentral:rRNA from 1 species
CAGCAGCCGCGGUAAUACGAAGGGGGCUAGCGUUGUUCGGAUUUACUGGGCGUAAAGGGUGCGUAGGCGGACUGAUAAGUCAGGGGUGAAAUCCCAAGGCUCAACCUUGGAACUGCCUUUGAUACUGUUAGUCUUGAGUUCGAGAGAGGUGAGUGGAACUGCGAGUGUAGAGGUGAAAUUCGUAGAUAUUCGCAAGAACACCAGUGGCGAAGGCGGCUCACUGGCUCGAAACUGACGCUGAGGCACGAAAGCGUGGGGAGCAAACAGGAUUAGAUACCCCAGUAGUCCCUGUCUCUUAUAC